CGAAGGAUCCAAGCGUUGUCCGGAUUUACUGGGUUUAAAGGGUGCGUAGGUGGAUUAUUAAGUCAGUGGUGAAAGCCUGCAGCUUAACUGUAGAACUGCCAUUGAAACUGAUAAUCUUGAGUAUGGUUGAGGUAACUGGAAUAUAUCAUGUAGCGGUGAAAUGCUUAGAUAUGAUAUAGAACACCGAUUGCGAAGGCAGGUUACUAAGCCAUAACUGACACUGAGGCACGAAAGCGUGGGGAUCAAACAGGAUUAGAUACCCUGGUAGUCCACGCCCUAAACGUUGCAUACUCGAUCUUAGCGAUAUACUGUUAGGGUCUUAGCGAAAGCGGUAAGUAUGCCACCUGGGGAGUACGUCCGCAAGGAUG
rnacentral:rRNA from 1 species